rnacentral:rRNA from 1 species
CUGCAGUCGGACGAGCCAAUCCCCGCAAGGGGAAAGGCUAGUGGCGAACGGCUGAGUAACACGUAGGUGACCUGCCCUGAAGUGGGGGAUAACGACUCGAAAGAGUCGCUAAUACCGCAUGUGACCACCCAUUCGUUUUGGGUGCUCAAAGUCGUAAGACGCUUUAGGAGGGGCCUGCGGCGGAUUAGCUAGUUGGUGAGGUAAUGGCCCACCAAGGCUUCGAUCCGUAGCUGGUCUGAGAGGAUGACCAGCCAGACUGGGACUGAGACACGGCCCAGACUCCUACGGGAGGCAGCAGUUAGGAAUUUUGCGCAAUGGGGGAAACCCUGACGCAGCCACGCCGCGUGCGGGAUGAAGGCCUUCGGGUCGUAAACCGCCUUUCUCGAGGAAGACACCCGACGGUACUCGAGGCAUAAGCAACGGCUAACUACGUGCCAGCAGCCGCGGUAAUACGUAGGUUGCGAGCGUUGUCCGGAUUUACUGGGCGUAAAGCGCACGCAGGCGGUUCCGAAAGUCGAAUGUGAAAGCUCCCGGCCCAACUGGGAGAGGCCGUUCGAAACUUCGGGACUUGAAGGCGGGAGAGGCAGAUGGAAUUUCCGGUGUAGCGGUAAAAUGCGUAGAUACCGGAAGGAACACCAGUGGCGAAAGCGAUCUGCUGGCCCGCCCUUGACGCUCAGGUGCGAAAGCUAGGGGAGCGACCGGGAUUAGAUACCCCGUUAGUCCUAGCCGUAAACAAUGGGCACUAGGUGUUGUCGGUAUCGACCCCGGCAGUGCCGAAGCUAACGCAUUAAGUGCCCCGCCUGGGGGAGUACGA